AAGCAAGCGACACGGGCUCCAUUGUGAGGUUUCUCUGUUGUCAUUGCAGCGAACCCUAGAGAGAGACUGCUCGCUCAGUGCAGGAUCCAGGCCCAGCCAAGCCCUGGCCAGAGGAUGGCCCAUCCAUGCGGUGAGAUCAAAACAUACGGGUUCAUCAGGCUGUGAAGAUGGACCUUCCGCAGAAUGCUUCUCCAGUCCUUCUCCCAAGACGGCCGCUUCUCUUCCCCAGACCCACCUCCCAGGAGCCAGGCACUGAAAAGAAGACUAUGAGUCCUCCAGGUGGAGGCUGGGAUAAUCUAACUCUGAAAAGAUUCAACAGGCAAGCUGGCGCUCACAUUUUCUGCUGCAGAAGAGUUUCAGCCACUGAACGGUCGGGGCAAAGAGCUUCAUUACCCUGCAAUCCCUGGCACUGAAACACUUGCUGUUUCUAUUUCGGACUGGGGCAUGCUGAGGUCGGCCGAGGUGGUUGUACAGAGACAUGCGUGCACAUUAAGCACAGGGGUGUGCAUUCGUCCUACUCUCUAUGAUGCUGCUACCAUCAAAGGAUGGGACUUGGAAUUAGAAAAUAGCUUUCAUUUCUUUUAGACGGGUGAGUAACAGUAGCAUUUGUUCGACUCUGUUAAAACACUGCUAUUUCUGUGUAAUAUUUAAUAAAUAAAAAUGGAAUGUUGGUGAUCUGUAGCUCUCUUCCAACGUUCCCUUAGAAAUAUAACUAGGAGGGAAAGAGAGACAGAUUUUGUUUUUCUGUGUGUGUGUUUUUUUUUUCAGUGAAAUCUAGAAUUCAUUUCUCAAAGAGUGAAACAAAGAUACAUAGGCACUGCUUACUGUUUUUGUUUGAAUUCAAGUAAUCUUUUAGCUCUGCGGGACCGCACAGGACAUGUGAGGAAGGAGGUGGAAGGGGAGACACCAUGCAAAUGACCAAACUCAUACAUGAGGCCCAGUAGAAGCGGAUGCACUGUGGGGCCGCAGCAGUGGAAGCUAUCAGUGCACACAGACUUUGACUUUAAAUCAGGCUUGUAAAUCACACAGGGCUGUACGUGUACUCGGUGCCUGUAAAGUCUAUUUUGUGUAUCAGGCAGGCUUCUCCACUAGAGCCCAGGAAACCUGAUGGAUUCUUUCAUUCCCUUAACGGAGAGUCGAUAAGCCCCUCAUGCGUGGCAGGUGCUAAGGCUGAAGUGGAGAAGACACAGGCCCCGGUCUUCGUUGGGAGGCAUCUUGGUCCAGGAAACAGUCACGGAGCCCAUCCGGAGUCUCCUAAGGAAGGAUUUGGAAGCAAGGACCGUCACUGUCAUGCUCGUGUGAGACAUGGUCACUUGAUGGGCAACCAGCAUGAGUGGAGGCAGCCAGUCUGGGAGGA
rnacentral:lncRNA from 1 species